UACCGCAAUGAAUUUUUAAGUCUAUUGUAUAUCCUUUUUGUGUUGUAGUUUAAGCACAGUUACAGUCUCAAGGUGUUUAAUAAUUCAUCUGUCAUCUGCUGUACACAUCUGUACUGUAGUGAGGGCAGUGCGGUUAUGUUGUGGGGUUCAUAUCGAUGGUCUAUGACGUCCAUAAUGCUUUAGUGUGAAGCAGUCACAAAGAUCUUCUCUCUCAAUAAACAGCUAAAGUUCAAAAGGCAAUUGAAGUGAUGGAUGAGUUGUGUUUGUGUCCAGGUCUCCAGUCUACUAUGGAUGAGGAGAGAGAAGAGGGGGGUCCUACCUCUAAGACCACUCUGUCUGGGGAACAUGGCCGCCGGAGCAAAGCUAAGAGGUAAGAAGAGGAUCUCUCUGUCUGUGACUGCUGUCACUCUCAGAGCUCAGCAGUGAUGCAUCAUGACUCCAUCAUUAGUCUGAGUAAAAGGUGUGUGUGUGUGUGUGUGUGUGUGUGUGUGUGUGUGUGUGUGUGUGUGUGUGUGUGUGUGUGUGUGUGUGUGUGUGUGUGUGUGUGUGUGUGUGUGUGUGUGUGUGUGUGUGUUGAAGCCCAGAGAAGCAGGAGAGAACAGACCCCCUGGACCCAGCUGUGUCUCCAUGAAGAGUGGCUGGUCUAUGGAUCCACCUGUUAGUUUUAAAGAUGGAAAUCAGUCUAUCAAGAAGAGAAGAGUCCAGCAGGAGAGAGCAGACUCCCCUGGACCCAGCUGUGUCUCCAUGAAGAGUGGCUGGUCUAUGGAUCCACCUGUUAGUUUUAAAGAUGGAAAUCAGUCUAUCAAGAAGAGAAGAGUCCAGCAGGAGAGAGCAGACUCCCCUGGACCCAGCUGUGUCUCCAUGAAGAGUGACUGGUCUAUGGAUAUACCAUUGGUGUUUAAAGAUGGACGUUCCUCCAGCGAGGAGAGGUAGGGUUCAAACAGACGAUGAAAACAGACCACUUGGUUGUUUUCAGACUACUGAUAUCUACGUGUGUGUGUGUGUGUGUGUGUGUGUGUGUGUGUGUGUGUGUGUGUGUGUGUGUGUGUGUGUGUGU
ensembl:lncRNA